GCUGCGUCCCGGGCACGCGCAAGUACAUGUGCUUUUGAAUAGUUACCAGGUUGCCAUGUAUUUGAAGUGGUGUGAGAGCUACUCGUUUGGAACCGUUGUGGAUUUUCAAAUAGGAAAAUCAAAAGGCCCAAAGGGACAGGUCACUGGUGACCAUGCUUUGGGAUUUUCAUAGUUUGAGUAAUUCCUAUGGGCUCUACCACCCAGCAAGUUAAAGAAGACAAGAUUCCACCCCCAGGGGGUUGUGGUUCUGGGAAUGUGAGCAGCUUGUUUUCAUGAGAUCUGCACCUUGAUCUGGCCUGCUAUUAGGAUCUGUGGUGGUGGUGGCUGUCUUGUUUUAGUUGUUUCUUUUACACAGAUUUUUGUAAGUUAUUUGCAUAUAAAGAUUUUUGAAAAGUGAAUGUUUUAUGGGGUCAUCUUGCUUAUACAAAGAAAAAUUAAAACUAUUUUAAAAUAAUCA